rnacentral:rRNA from 1 species
GGGUUGUGAGGUUAAGCGACUAAGCGUACACGGUGGAUGCCCUGGCAGUCAGAGGCGAUGAAGGACGUGCUAAUCUGCGAUAAGCGUCGGUAAGGUGAUAUGAACCGUUAUAACCGGCGAUUUCCGAAUGGGGAAACCCAGUGUGAUUCGUCACACUAUCAUUAACUGAAUCCAUAGGUUAAUGAGGCGAACCGGGGGAACUGAAACAUCUAAGUACCCCGAGGAAAAGAAAUCAACCGAGAUUCCCCCAGUAGCGGCGAGCGAACGGGGAGGAGCCCAGAGCCUGAAUCAGUGUGUGUGUUAGUGGAAGCGUCUGGAAAGGCGCGCGAUACAGGGUGACAGCCCCGUACACAAAAAUGCACAUACUGUGAGCUCGAUGAGUAGGGCGGGACACGUGGUAUCCUGUCUGAAUAUGGGGGGACCAUCCUCCAAGGCUAAAUACUCCUGACUGACCGAUAGUGAACCAGUACCGUGAGGGAAAGGCGAAAAGAACCCCGGCGAGGGGAGUGAAAAAGAACCUGAAACCGUGUACGUACAAGCAGUGGGAGCCUCUUUUAUGGGGUGACUGCGUACCUUUUGUAUAAUGGGUCAGCGACUUAUAUUCUGUAGCAAGGUUAACCGAAUAGGGGAGCCGAAGGGAAACCGAGUCUUAACCGGGCGUUAAGUUGCAGGGUAUAGACCCGAAACCCGGUGAUCUAGCCAUGGGCAGGUUGAAGGUUGGGUAACACUAACUGGAGGACCGAACCGACUAAUGUUGAAAAAUUAGCGGAUGACUUGUGGCUGGGGGUGAAAGGCCAAUCAAACCGGGAGAUAGCUGGUUCUCCCCGAAAGCUAUUUAGGUAGCGCCUCGUGAAUUCAUCUCCGGGGGUAGAGCACUGUUUCGGCAAGGGGGUCAUCCCGACUUACCAACCCGAUGCAAACUGCGAAUACCGGAGAAUGUUAUCACGGGAGACACACGGCGGGUGCUAACGUCCGUCGUGAAGAGGGAAACAACCCAGACCGCCAGCUAAGGUCCCAAAGUCAUGGUUAAGUGGGAAACGAUGUGGGAAGGCCCAGACAGCCAGGAUGUUGGCUUAGAAGCAGCCAUCAUUUAAAGAAAGCGUAAUAGCUCACUGGUCGAGUCGGCCUGCGCGGAAGAUGUAACGGGGCUAAACCAUGCACCGAAGCUGCGGCAGCGACACUGUGUGUUGUUGGGUAGGGGAGCGUUCUGUAAGCCUGUGAAGGUGUACUGUGAGGUAUGCUGGAGGUAUCAGAAGUGCGAAUGCUGACAUAAGUAACGAUAAAGCGGGUGAAAAGCCCGCUCGCCGGAAGACCAAGGGUUCCUGUCCAACGUUAAUCGGGGCAGGGUGAGUCGACCCCUAAGGCGAGGCCGAAAGGCGUAGUCGAUGGGAAACAGGUUAAUAUUCCUGUACUUGGUGUUACUGCGAAGGGGGGACGGAGAAGGCUAUGUUGGCCGGGCGACGGUUGUCCCGGUUUAAGCGUGUAGGCUGGUUUUCCAGGCAAAUCCGGAAAAUCAAGGCUGAGGCGUGAUGACGAGGCACUACGGUGCUGAAGCAACAAAUGCCCUGCUUCCAGGAAAAGCCUCUAAGCAUCAGGUAACAUCAAAUCGUACCCCAAACCGACACAGGUGGUCAGGUAGAGAAUACCAAGGCGCUUGAGAGAACUCGGGUGAAGGAACUAGGCAAAAUGGUGCCGUAACUUCGGGAGAAGGCACGCUGAUAUGUAGGUGAAGUCCCUCGCGGAUGGAGCUGAAAUCAGUCGAAGAUACCAGCUGGCUGCAACUGUUUAUUAAAAACACAGCACUGUGCAAACACGAAAGUGGACGUAUACGGUGUGACGCCUGCCCGGUGCCGGAAGGUUAAUUGAUGGGGUCAGCGCAAGCGAAGCUCUUGAUCGAAGCCCCGGUAAACGGCGGCCGUAACUAUAACGGUCCUAAGGUAGCGAAAUUCCUUGUCGGGUAAGUUCCGACCUGCACGAAUGGCGUAAUGAUGGCCAGGCUGUCUCCACCCGAGACUCAGUGAAAUUGAACUCGCUGUGAAGAUGCAGUGUACCCGCGGCAAGACGGAAAGACCCCGUGAACCUUUACUAUAGCUUGACACUGAACAUUGAGCCUUGAUGUGUAGGAUAGGUGGGAGGCUUUGAAGUGUGGACGCCAGUCUGCAUGGAGCCGACCUUGAAAUACCACCCUUUAAUGUUUGAUGUUCUAACGUGGACCCGUGAUCCGGGUUGCGGACAGUGUCUGGUGGGUAGUUUGACUGGGGCGGUCUCCUCCUAAAGAGUAACGGAGGAGCACGAAGGUUGGCUAAUCCUGGUCGGACAUCAGGAGGUUAGUGCAAUGGCAUAAGCCAGCUUGACUGCGAGCGUGACGGCGCGAGCAGGUGCGAAAGCAGGUCAUAGUGAUCCGGUGGUUCUGAAUGGAAGGGCCAUCGCUCAACGGAUAAAAGGUACUCCGGGGAUAACAGGCUGAUACCGCCCAAGAGUUCAUAUCGACGGCGGUGUUUGGCACCUCGAUGUCGGCUCAUCACAUCCUGGGGCUGAAGUAGGUCCCAAGGGUAUGGCUGUUCGCCAUUUAAAGUGGUACGCGAGCUGGGUUUAGAACGUCGUGAGACAGUUCGGUCCCUAUCUGCCGUGGGCGCUGGAGAACUGAGGGGGGCUGCUCCUAGUACGAGAGGACCGGAGUGGACGCAUCACUGGUGUUCGGGUUGUCAUGCCAAUGGCACUGCCCGGUAGCUAAAUGCGGAAGAGAUAAGUGCUGAAAGCAUCUAAGCACGAAACUUGCCCCGAGAUGAGUUCUUCCUGACCCUUUAAGGGUCCUGAAGGAACGUUGAAGACGACGACGUUGAUAGGCCGGGUGUGUAAGCGCAGCGAUGCGUUGAGCUAACCGGUACUAAUGAACCGUGAGGCUUAACCUUACAACGCCGAAGGUGUUU